AUUGAACGCUGGCGGCAGGCCUAACACAUGCAAGUCGAACGAGUGGCGGACGGGUGAGUAAUGUCUGGGCAACUGCCUGAUGGAGGGGGAUAAAUACUGGAAACGGUAGCUAAUACCGCAUACCAUCAGAUGUGCCCAGAUGGGAUUAGCUUGUUGGUGGGGUAACGGCUCACCAAGGCGACGAUCCCUAGCUGGUCUGAGCGAAUGACAAGCCACACAUGAACUGAGACACGGUCAAGACUCCUACGGGAGGCAGCAGUAGGGAAUAUUGCACAAGGGGCGCAAGCCUGAUGCAGCCAUGCCGCGUAUAUGAAGAAGGCUUUCGGGUUGUAAAGUACUUUCAGCGGAGAGGCGUUACCCGCAGAAGAAGCACCGGCUAACUCCGUGCCAGCCGCCGCGGUAAUUC
rnacentral:rRNA from 1 species